rnacentral:rRNA from 1 species
UGGGGAAUAUUGCACAAUGGGGGAAACCCUGAUGCAGCGACGCCGCGUGAACGAAGAAGGUAUUCGUAUCGUAAAGUUCUGUCCUAUGGGAAGAUAAUGACAGUACCAUAGAAGAAAGCUCCGGCUAAAUACGUGCCAGCAGCCGCGGUAAUACGUAUGGAGCGAGCGUUGUCCGGAAUUAUUGGGCGUAAAGGGUACGCAGGCGGUUUAAUAAGUCGAAUGUUAAAGAUCGGGGCUCAACCCCGCAAAGCAUUGGAAACUGAUAAACUUGAGUAGUGGAGAGGAAAGUGGAAUUCCUAGUGUAGUGGUGAAAUACGUAGAUAUUAGGAGGAAUACCAGUAGCGAAGGCGACUUUCUGGACACACACUGACGCUGAGGUACGAAAGCGUGGGGAGCAAACAGG